AUUUUCCUUCGGGGCAGGGUGCAAUUCCCGACCGGCGGUGAUGAGGAAACUCAAAGCCCGUGACCCGUAUUCUCCGGAAUGCGGUGGAUUUGGUGAAAUUCCAAAGCCGACAGUGACAGUCUGGAUGGGAGAAGGAUCAA
rnacentral:ncRNA from 15 species